rfam:Cajanus cajan chromosome 7, whole genome shotgun sequence.
ACCCCCAUUUUAAAUUUAGCCAUCUUUUUCUAACAACGAAAUGACCACUAGACCCUUAUAGGAGUAGGUAUGGACAUUGUUUGUUGAUGGUUCAUCUAGUAAAAAAGGUAGUGGAGUCUCAAGCCAGAGGAGAUUGGCCAUCGAGUGCAAAGGCAAAAGGGAGCUUGAUUGCAAGACCCACCUAUUGAGCAGGGACGAAAGUCGACCUUAGUGAUUCGACGGUGCCAAGUGGAAGAUGUUGGAGUUCAAGUGUGAAGUAAAGUCUCACAUUGGUUAGAGUUGGGCAUGUUGAGUAAUAUAUAAGUGAGAAAGACCCACCUCCUAAUGCCUUAAGGUUUUAGGUUAUGUUGUGGUAUCAUUGUGUGGAAUGCUCCCUAGUGUUCUAAACUCCCCAAACAUUGGUAUCAGAACCAAUGGUUUGACUAAGUGACUGGUGAUCGGCUCAGACGAGUAAUAGCUGGAUCCAAGAGUGGAGUGGGAUCCUAAAUGGAAUUGGCAGGAGAUCCAAGAGUAAGAUCAUCCCUUGUACUGAAAGUCUCCCUAGAGGUGUGGAGGACGUGUGUCGUUGAAGUGCAUAGUGCAAGUAAGGCAACCAUUGAAUACUCGUGGAUGAAAGAAAAGCUUCCGCUUGAGGGGGAGCGUGACCAUGUGGAAAGGAUUCACACUUGAGGGGGAGUGUUGAAGUUCAAGUGUGAAGUAAAGUCCCACAUUAGUUAGAGUUGGGCAUGUUGAGUAAAGUGCUUCCCGAUAUUAAAAACUCCCCAACAGAAGAGUCGUCGUUCAACGGAUAAAAGUUACUCUAGAGAUAACAGGUUGAUCUUUCCCAAGAGCUCUCAUCGAUGGGAAGGUUUGGCACCUCGAUGUUGGCUCUUCGCUACCUGGGGUUGUAGUAUGUUCUAAGGGUUGGGUUGUUCGUCCAUUAAAGUGGUACGUGAGUUGGGUUCAGAACAUCGUGAGACAAUUCGGUCUGGGUUCAGAACAUCGUGAGACAAUUCGGUCCAUAUCCGGUGUGGGCUUAGAGCAUUGAGAGGACCUUUCCUUAGUACGAGAGGACUAGGAAGGAUGCACCUUUGGUGUGCUAGUUAUCUUGCCCACAAUAAAUGCUAGGUAGCCAAGUGGGGAGCGGAUAACUGCUGAAAGCAUCUAAGUAGUAAACCCACCCCCAAGAUGAGUGUUCUCCUAUUCUGGCUCCCCCCUG